rnacentral:rRNA from 1 species
UGGGGAAUUUUGGACAAUGGGCGCAAGCCUGAUCCAGCCAUGCCGCGUGUGGGAAGAAGGCCUUCGGGUUGUAAAGCUCUUUUGUCAGGGAAGAAACGGUAGUAGCGAAUAACUACUACUAAUGACGGUACCUGAAGAAUAAGCACCGGCUAACUACGUGCCAGCAGCCGCGGUAAUACGUAGGGUGCAAGCGUUAAUCGGAAUUACUGGGCGUAAAGCGUGCGCAGGCGGUUGUGUAAGUCAGAUGUGAAAUCCCCGGGCUCAACCUGGGAAUUGCAUUUGAGACUGCACGGCUAGAGUGUGUCAGAGGGGGGUAGAAUUCCACGUGUAGCAGUGAAAUGCGUAGAUAUGUGGAGGAAUACCGAUGGCGAAGGCAGCCCCCUGGGAUAACACUGACGCUCAUGCACGAAAGCGUGGGGAGCAAACAGGAUUAGAUACCCCGGUAGUCCCUGAGCGGGCUGGCAAGGCGCAU